CACUCCUGGUAAAAUCUUUGAUUUAACAUCAUCAAGAACAUUCUGCAAUCCCUCAGGUUGAUUUGGCGCAGAAUCUGGCAGAAGUUUCUGAAGAUACCCAGGCUCAACUUGGCUUAGAACUGGAAAAUUCUCAAUAGUUUUGUAGUAAUCAGCAAUAAAAUCAACCAUCUUAUGUGCAUGCUCUCUCAGUUGCUCUGCGUCCAUUGGUCUCAACUCCCUUUCCAUAUUUUGCACAUAAAUGGGAGCAAAGGACUGAUUGUUUUAGCGAAGAGAAGUGGGUAUUGCGUUGCUUAAAAGGGUUUUAACAGAGAAAACAAAGUCUUUGGUAUAUAUGAGAAUGAAGGAGAA
rnacentral:misc_RNA from 1 species